rnacentral:rRNA from 1 species
GACGGAGGGUGCAAGCGUUGUUCGGAAUUACUGGGCGUAAAGCGCGGGCAGGUGGUCUUUUAAGUCCUUUGUGAAAUCCCGGGGCUCAACUCCGGAUGUGCAUAGGAUACUGGAGGACUUGAGACUGGUAGAGGCGAGCGGAAUUCCUGGUGUAGCGGUGGAAUGCGUAGAUAUCGGAAGGAACAUCAGUGGCGAAAGCGGCUUCCUGGACCAGCACCGACGUUCAGGCACGAAAGCGUGGGGAGCAAACAGG